rnacentral:rRNA from 1 species
GAUGAACGCUGGCGGCGUGCUUAACACAUGCAAGUCGAACGGUGAAGAGGAGCUUGCUCCUCGGAACAGUGGCGGACGGGUGAGUAACACGUGAGCAACCUGGCUCUAAGAGGGGGACAACAGUUGGAAACGACUGCUAAUACCGCAUAACGUAUCGGGAUGGCAUCUUCCUGAUACCAAAGAUUUUAUCGCUUAGAGAUGGGCUCGCGUCUGAUUAGAUAGUUGGCGGGGUAACGGCCCACCAAGGCAACGAUCAGUAGCCGGCCUGAGAGGGUGAACGGCCACAUUGGGACUGAGACACGGCCCAAACUCCUACGGGAGGCAGCAGUGGGGAAUAUUGCACAAUGGGGGAAACCCUGAUGCAGCGACGCCGCGUGGAGGAAGAAGGUUUUCGGAUUGUAAACUCCUGUCGUUAGGGACGAUAAUGACGGUACCUAACAAGAAAGCACCGGCUAACUACGUG